rnacentral:tRNA from 1 species
GGGCGGAUGUAGCCAAGUGGAUCAAGGCAGUGGAUUGUGAAC